CUGCUCUUCUGUGAAUAUCCCAAGAAGGAUCCCAAAGAUUAUUACGGGGGCAGAGAGCACUGGGGAGGAGUUGGAGCUAGUGUAAGUGGUUGGAAAAAAACAUUUCAUUUAUUAGAGCCAGCAAAAUAAAACCAAUGAGCAUGGAAGCUUAAGCCUCAAAUAAUAAAAUCUUGUAAAAUUCUAAACAGUUA
rnacentral:lncRNA from 7 species